rnacentral:misc_RNA from 1 species
AAAUCUCAAACCUCCUUUGGUUUUCUUCUGGAGACAAAAGGAGGCUUUGGACUCUGGAGGCCUUUGCCGGCGUCUUCUCUCUUUUGAAGAAGGCCAGCUCCUCUGAAAUGAAUUAGCGGGGUCCUCUUUGCCGACCCUCGACAUGUGAUAAGAUGUUUCCGUGUCUUGGCUUCUGGCUCUGUUGCCUUUGGGACCCGCUUCUAACCGUCUUGACUCCAUGUCAAAGACAAUGUUCGAGCUCGUCUCCCUUCUCGGGAAACGUUCUUGACCCCACGAAC